UUAGAGUUGUGAUAUAAAUAUUAAAUUAAAUUAAUAAAUUUAAUUAUGGUUUAAUAAUUAAUUUAAAAAUUUUUAUAUAUAUAAAUAUUAAUAGUUGGAUAUUUAAUAUAAAAUUAAUGUAGUAUAUAAAUUUAAUAAUAUUAAAAAUAUUUAAUAUUAGAAAUUUUUAUAAUUUGGAUAAAUAAUUGUGCCAGCAAUCGUGGUUAGACAAUUUAAAUAAAUUAAUUAAAUUAAGUUGAAAUUAAAUAUAAUAUUAUAAUUAUUAUUAAAAUUAUUAGGUGAAAUUAAUUAAUUUUAAUUUUAUUAUGUAAAUAAGAAAGUUGAGUUUUUGAAAGGUUUUUAAAAAACUAGGAUUAGAUACCCUAUUAUGAAAUUUUAAAUUUAAAAUUUUAAUAUUAAAUGAUUAAUCAUUAAAUUUAAAUAAUUUGGCGGUAUUUUAAUUUUAUUAGAGGAAUUUGAUAAUUAAUUGAUAAUACCCGAUAAGAAAACUUUAAUUUAAUUUUUAUAUUGUUGUUUGAAGAGUAUUUUUGAAAAAAUUAUUUAAAAUAUUUUUUUAAAAAAAAUUAAUUCAGAUCAAAAUGAAGUGUAUAUUAAAGAAUUAUUGAAUUACAAUAAAUUAGAUUUAAAUGAAUUUAUAAUUUAAAUAUUAUAAUGAAGGCGGAUUUAAAAGUAAAAUAAAAUAAUUAUUUUAAUUGAUUAAAAUUUUAAAAUAUGUACAAAUUGCCCGUCGUUCUCUUUGAAAAAAGAGGUAAGUCGUAACAAAGUAAAAGUACUGGAAAGUGUUUUUAGAUG
rnacentral:ncRNA from 1 species